UCCUAAGAUUGAGAAGAAGAGUGGCGAUGGUGGUGGGAUGAGGAUUCGUCUCUCUCUUUUCACUACAGAGAAAACCUAGAAACUGGGUCUCCUUUCGUAGGAGAAGCAACAAGGUGAGUUUUUUUUAAUCUCUGAUCUCAUAAAUGUAAGUUUUUUUCAUAAGUCGUGCUGGAGUCCGUUCUUAUAAUGCCCUUCAUAUGACCAGUUUAUAGAUCUGCUUAUAGAAAAAUAGGUAAAAUAUGUGCAGUGCUCAUUCAACUUUAGUGGUGUUUCUUUUCCACUUGCACACUUAACAUAAAGUUAUGAAUUGCAUGACUUCAAAGCCUUAAAAAGCAGAGUUUGUAAAAAUUAUGUGAAUUAUGCGCUCUGCUUAUGUGAUUACAAUAGAUGAUAAUUGUGUUUAGUUUUCCCUAAGUUCUGUUGCAUGUGAUCUUUAAGAGAAGUGUAAAAAAUAUAUAAAGAUAAAUUGCGCUUUGCAUACCAAAAGAAGUUCGUUUUUGCACCUAGUGUCUCGAGUUGGGACCCUAUCACCUUGGUGCGUCUCGCGUAUUAUAAAACCAAUUCGAUAUUAAGAGCACUUUGUAAACUGUGUGAUGUAAUUUGUUAUUGUCACAGGAACAACAGCCGUGUCAUUAACUGGUUAAGCAUGUUGACCUAUUUAGACACAUUUUAAUCAUGACAUUAGCGAAUCUAUUUAUAACCCGAACUCAUUUACCAAACAAUAACCAGUUCAAGAUCAUAUAGCGAUAUUGGGCCGAAUCUUAAACAAUAACCAUCUCUAUGGCAAUCCUGUAAUUUGUAGAUGACUGAAGUGUACAUUA
rnacentral:lncRNA from 1 species